AUCUGCCUAGCAGGCGGCUCUCCCCUGCUCCCCCACCGAGCACAGACCGUGGGAGGGGACCCUGCGGGAGGAGGCUGCUUCAGUCUCCAGAGACCAUCUCCCAUCUCUACAGCGACUCCCCUAUGACCGUCCCCCACCCGGUGCUCUCGGGCCACGGGGAAGGGACACUCGGGAAAGACACCAGAGACCGGGAGGGUGCAGCUGGGCUCUUCGCGGGGAGCGGGCGGGAGGCCUUCCUGUUACAUGUCGCAGCUGGGACACAGACGGCAGCGCUCCAGGGUCCACUUGCCGGCUUCGGUUCCCUCAGGCCCAGGACCAGGCUCCACACCGCUGUCGCGUCCCUUAGCCGUGUGGGCUGUAGCACAGAGGGGGCAAACACCUCCAGGGGCUUGUGCCAAGUAAUUACCAAGCAAAUUCCCGGCGAUUUCCUCUCCUCCCCCCGCCCCCCCGGGCAGUGCCCGCUGCGUGUUCCCUGAUUCGGCCCCCGGCUGUGCAAUCAGCUCCAGGUAACCUGCGGGGACCCGUAAUUGCUCUGGAGUUGCCUGCGAGUUUGCAAGGUAAGCACGCGCGGCGCUUCUCCCUGGCCCUGGGGCGCGCGGUGGAGCGCCUUGCGCCCGCCCCCGAUGGGCCGGAUGCCGGGGACCUGCGGAAGCAGAGGCUGCGGGGGUAGAGAUCCAACUCCACGGAGUGAGAGAGCAGCUUUGCGCUAAUGGGGCCGGGUGCAGGAAGCUGGUGCAGAGAGGAAAGAAGGAAGGGAGUCUGGGCGACUUGCGGGAGGAGAGGGGCCACCUCGCCAUGUCCCCAAGGAAGGGGACCUUGGGGGACAUGGGAUCCUUCUGUCCCUUCCCUCCAGUGAAGAGGCGCUUCAUUGAUGAGCCUUGUCAUCAUCCUUCAAGUGUAAUUUUUUUAAAUUGCAAAAAUCUUACAGAGCUAUUAACCUCAAAAGAGUUUAACAUAUGGCAGACCGAGUCUCCCUCUUACCCUAAUUAUAAGGCUUGCAGUAAUGGGGCUGUCUUUUAAGUUACAGCUGCUGCGCUUUUGGCUUUCGCUAACAUUACAUCCUAUUAAAGAGCUACAUUAAAUGCAUGCAAAUUGCCGGAGCGACGGCGCUCUCCCGACCAGUGAGGGGGACGGAUUGCAGCCGAGGCGGCGAUAUCGGGGUCAGACUCACCCUGCUGCGAGCGCCAUAUGAUCUAUCAAUCAAACUCCUCUCAUUAAUUAACUAAUUCAUUAAAUAUCUUUAUAUAUGAAGGCCCGGCCAGGCAGAACAUUGUGUUGACAGGGACGUCCCGUCAGCACUUAGCCCUGCUCUCCCCACCCCUCCCCUCCUGCACAAAUCUCCCGGUGACUAAGAGAGGUCAGCUUCCCAGUGUUGGCGGGCACGGAAGCAACGGCUGUGUCCACUCCUGGGGGCGCCCUCCUUGGGCCUCCUUCCGCAUGAACCCCAUCUGUCCGGCUUCCUCCUGGCGCGCCUGCCCUCACUCACCUAUUGCUCGAAUGAGCUGUGUGUGUAUCUGAUACCUCCGCUCGCCUGGCAACCCUUAGGUUGCUCAUCUUGUGCCCCAGGGCCCAGCACUGGCAGAUGCUUUGAAUGUUGGGCUGAAUUGGAGUGCAUUCCUCUCCAGUACUUCCAAGUCAUCAAGGCCUUCCUCUGCAAUAUGCUUCUGGAAGACUGGUCACUCUAGGGAGGAGAGGAGGUCAGCCAUGUGUUCAGGCGGCAUCCCGGGAGAGGAGGAGGAGGGCUUAUUGGUGGUCCUAGAAAAGGUAUGGGGGCAGGCGGGAGGAACUUUUAAAGUUCAGAGCUGGCCAGUGAUGUAGCCACAACACCCAGAAUCCGAAGCAAACCCUUGUGCCAAGGAGAAUGAAUCUAUGUCUUCUAUGAACAACAGAGACACAUUUUAGAAUGGAUGCUAGGGUUGAGCAUGGUGGCUCCUGCCUGUAAUCCCAGUACUUUCGGAGGCUGAGGCUGGGGGAUCACUUGAGCUUGGGAGUUUGACACCAGCUGGGCAACAUAGGCAGACCUCAUCUCUACAAAACAAACAAACACACAAACAAACAAACAAAUAAAUAAGCACGGUGUGGUGAUGUGUGCCUGUGGUUCCAACUACUUGACUGAGGUCGGAGGAUCACUUGAGCCUGGGAGGUUAAGGCUGCAGUGAGCUGUGAUCACACCACUGCACUCCAGUCUGGGCAACAGAGGGAGACCCUGUCUCAAAAAAAUAACAAUAAAAUAAUAAGAAUUAAAAAAAU
rnacentral:lncRNA from 1 species